AGUGAACGCUGGCGGCGUGCUUAACACAUGCAAGUCGAACGAGAACGGGCUAUAGCUUGCUAUAGUUGUCAGCUAAGUGGCGCACGGGUGAGUAAUGUAUAGGUAAUGUGCCUCUUACUAAGGGAUAACAAAUGGAAACGUUUGCUAAUACCUUAUACUCCUUAUUAACAUAAGUUAAUAAGGGAAAGAUUUAUCGGUAAGAGAUUGGCCUGUAUUGUAUCAGUUAGUUGGUGGGGUAAUGGCCUACCAAGACAAUGACACAUAACUGGUUUGAGAGGAUGAUCAGUCACACUGGAACUGAGACACGGUCCAGACUCCUACGGGAGGCAGCAGUGGGGAAUAUUGCACAAUGGACGAAAGUCUGAUGCAGCAACGCCGCGUGGAGGAUGACACAUUUCGGUGCGUAAACUCCUUUUAUAUAAGAAGAUAAUGACGGUAUUAUAUGAAUAAGCACCGGCUAACUCCGUGCCAGCAGCCGCGGUAAUACGGGGGGUGCAAGCGUUACUCGGAAUCACUGGGCGUAAAGAGCAUGUAGGCGGAUUGAUAAGUUUGAAGUGAAAUCCUAUAGCUUAACUAUAGAACUGCUUUGAAAACUGUUAAUCUAGAAUGUGGGAGAGGUAGAUGGAAUUUCUGGUGUAGGGGUAAAAUCCGUAGAGAUCAGAAGGAAUACCGAUUGCGAAGGCGAUCUACUGGAACAUUAUUGACGCUGAGAUGCGAAAGCGUGGGGAGCAAACAGGAUUAGAUACCCUGGUAGUCCACGCCCUAAACGAUGUACACUAGUUGUUGUGAGACUAGAUCUUGCAGUAAUGCAGUUAACACAUUAAGUGUACCGCCUGGGGAGUACGGUCGCAAGAUUAAAACUCAAAGGAAUAGACGGGGACUCGCACAAGCGGUGGAGCAUGUGGUUUAAUUCGACGAUACACGAAGAACCUUACCUGGACUUGACAUAGUAAGAAUGAUUU
rnacentral:rRNA from 1 species